UACAGAGGGGGCAAGCGUUGUUCGGAAUUACUGGGCGUAAAGGGCUCGUAGGUGGCCAACUAAGUCAGACGUGAAAUCCCUCGGCUUAACCGGGGAACUGCGUCUGAUACUGGAUGGCUUGAGUUCGGGAGAGGGGUGCGGAAUUCCAGGUGUAGCGGUGAAAUGCGUAGAUAUCUGGAGGAACACCGGUGGCGAAGGCGGCAUCCUGGACCGACACUGACACUGAGGAGCGAAAGCCAGGGGAGCAAACGGGG
rnacentral:rRNA from 1 species